CUGUGAGCAAAACUUGAACCCUGAUGCCAACCCACGCCCCACAGCCCAGGACCUGGCAGGGUUCUGGGACCUGCUACAGCUGUCCAUCGAGGACAUCAGCAUGAAGUUUGAUGAACUCUACCACCUCAAGGCCAACAGCUGGCAGCUGGUGGAGACCCCCGAGAAGAGGAAGGUGAGCAUGGAGCAGUGCGGAGGGGAAGUCCAGGGACAAAUUCCUGGUCGGCAAUAACGCUGCCCACAUCGGAAGAGAAGAAACCACCCCCUCCGGUCCCAAAGAAGCCAGCCAAAUCCAAGCCGGCAGUGAGCCGCGACAAGGCCUCAGACGCCAGCGACAAGCAGCGCCAGGAGGCCCGCAAGAGACUCCUGGCGGCCAAGCGGGCAGCUUCUGUGCGGCAGAACUCAGCCACCGAGAGCGCAGACAGCAUCGAGAUUUAUGUCCCGGAGGCCCAGACCAGGCUCUGAGACCACGCAGGAGGAAAGAAACGAUUUU
rnacentral:sRNA from 1 species